ACAAAAAGGAGGACAUCAACACAGAGAAAUAUAAACCCUUUUCUCCAUCAUCUGAAAAAGGGAGAGGAUUCUAGUUCUUCCAAAAAAGAAAACCCUUGAUUCCUUAUAGCUCUUCAGUUUACCCCGCCAUCCUUAAAUCCCUACACAACAACGCAAACUCCAGGGGCAAAGGUUCAAACCAACCUCGGCCCACAGUCUUGACAGGAACAAGCCUCCUUGUCACGUUCCUGAUUGCCAAACCAACCAUUGUUCAUAAAAAAAAGAAGGCUCAACUUCGGUUUUGUAGGUGGCAGCUGCUAGACUUAUAGGAGUUUUGGCACGUGAGUUGGUACGACAUGUGUUUCUGGAUGAAGUCUUUCAACAGACACAUAUACGGAAGGGUAUUGGCGAGUAUGUGAAUGAGAGGUCUAGGAAAACAAAUAAUUUCAGACUAGGCUUUCUCAAGUUAGAUCUGAGGUUUCCUCAUGUCUUGAUGGAACACAAUAUCAGUCCUCGGCUGAUCCUACAAAGGAUGAGAAUAUCAUGACUAGGUGUUGGAUUGAGAGAGUAGGAGGAAAAAGGAAAGGAAGACUUUAUGGGGCUGGUCAACUUGUUUCAAAAUAUACCGGUUCAAAUGAAAGCAACCAACUAUCAGCUUCUUCCACUCCUAAUACUGAGGACCUCAAUAAUAUUAGGCAAAAACUUUCACGCAGCCUGGAGGAAAAUGAGCAAUUGAGGUUCGAGUUUCGAUCCUUUCAAUCACUAGUCCUGCAAUAUCUCCCUCUUGAUGCUCAGGCUCGUCUUCAACAGCCACAACCACUACAGCCAAACCCUACUCAAUAGAACUCUGAAAUCCUUCAACCCGAGUCUCAGCAACCAAAUAAUGAAGAGGACAAUAAUGUAAAUGAAGAAUCUUCUCCUAAUUAUGAAGAUUAUUAGCUCUUCAUGUCCUUAAGAAAUACUUUCUUCAGCAUGUACAUAAUAAACUUGUGUACAAUUAUGCUUACUUGGUAUUGAUCGUGCCUAUGUAAUAUUUGGCAAACAUAUUCCUAUGCUACAUAUUAUUUUUUGUUUUAUAAAAGUGUGUCAUGUGAUAUAUAUUGUGAUGGAGUU